rnacentral:tRNA from 1 species
GGGGGUGUGAUUCAGUGGUAAGAGAAUCUGCUUAGGAAGCAUAUGAUCUUGAGUUCAAACCCUAGUACCACCA